UACAGAGGGGGCAAGCGUUGUUCGGAAUUACUGGGCGUAAAGGGCGCGCAGGCGGCUAUCCAAGUCAGUGGUGAAAGCCCGGAGCUCAACUCCGGAACUGCCAUUGAAACUGUUUAGCUUGAGGACGAGAGAGGUGAGUGGAAUUCCCAGUGUAGAGGUGAAAUUCGUAGAUAUUGGGAAGAACACCGGUGGCGAAGGCGGCUCACUGGCUCGUUUCUGACGCUCAGGCGCGAUAGCGUGGGGAUCAAACAGG
rnacentral:rRNA from 1 species